GGAGGUAUAGCUCAAGUGGUAGAGUGGAUGCUUGGCAAGCAUGAGGUCCCGGGUUCAAUCCCCAGUACCUCCU
rnacentral:tRNA from 1 species